UUGGGGAAUCCCGUGGUGGAAUCUGCGCCUACCUGGCGGUAGUACUACUUAGGUUCUUUGCUGUAGAAAGAGGGCUUCUGGCCAACCCUGCUGGUACUGGAAGGCACAGACAACUCUAGGGCUGGUCAUGACUGUUUCAGGCCUGAUGUGCAAGCCAAUGGAUCAGUGUACAGAAGACCCAGUGGCACUCGCGUCAGUGGUUCUCUGGACCUGCCCCGGCUGCACCCUCAGGCCACACUUUACUUACCUGCAGCUGCUUCCAUGGCAGCUUUGGCUGCACCACUCUCGAGGACUGACAGAUAAAAUACAGGACACCCAGUUAAA